GUUACCAAACCCUGAAAACCCUACCUCCAAGUACUCAAAUGAUGGUGAUAACAAAACCCAUUACUUAACCAAAAGACAAGUACCUUGCAACUUUGGCAGUCAUUGCUGACCACAAGGUCCUCAGGGUCCUCAAGGUCCACCAGGAAAAGAUGGGAAAAAUGGACGAGAUGGUAGAGAUAGUCUCCCAGGGUUAAAUGUAAGGGAGGGGUUGCAGGGACCACCUGGUGCCAAAGGUGACACUGGAUCUUUGACAAAAGACAUCAUAGAACAUCAUGGCAAAAAUUCAGAAUGAUCCAAAGCUUACUGGUAUGUCCAGAUCCAAUCUUAGAUCUUCUACAGCCAAGCCCAAUUAAAUGUAAUAAUUUAUCAUACCAAGUUACCAAUUGAUGUAUCACCUCAAUGUAUUACAAUAUUGGCACAGUAUAUUCAAGCUAGUGGGACAGUGUUUCUCUCAGUUUAUUGUAUGUUUUAAUGUCUACCAGACAAUAACAGCCAUGUUGGAGCAGUGUACCCAAUUUGGCUCACUAGGUUUAAAAGAAGUUUUUAACUGUCUAGCAGCCAAUACCAGCCAUAUGGUGGAAACGUAUUAACAAAAUAAAAACUUGUAUUUCAUAAAUUUUUUUUGGUGAAAAGGGAAGGCGUGUUCAGACUAGUAAAAUUUAACAUUAAUAAAAAUGGAAAUUUAUUCGAUCGGAGUCGCGGGCUUGGGCGCGCAACUCGUAAUAA